UCGCCCGCCAACGGAGCUCCGCCGCCUCCCUCCGCCGGCGACCCGCUCGCCCGCGGCCACCGGAAUCGUCUCCCCGAGGCCGCUGGAGCCUCUUCGGCGGCGUAGCUCCCGUGAAGGCUCCUCACCGAAGAAGCGCGGGCAGCCGUCGCCGCGCUCGCCGGCGCAAGAGCGCUCGUCGCUGUUCCGGCCCCGUCGAAGACCCGGCCGGCGUCUGACCCGCGAUGGAUCUCUCCCCGUUCAAGCAGGACGUCGACGAGCUCAUCAACGAGUUCGCUCAGGGCGGAUCGAGGGCUUUAGCCGACAUGAAGCGCAUAUGGAUGUCCAGGAAGUUCUCCUACAUUUACGAGGCGCGUCCUUCGUCCAACUUGACCUUCUUCAUGCAGACGCUCUAUUCUCAGUCAAUUGGUCACAUGGUCAACUCAGAGUCUCUAUCUCGCCGGUUAGGUGGGCUGUAUUGCCUUUACUGUCUUUAUGAAACUCAACCAUUCAAACCUCCUUUCAGAAUCUAUCUCUCUCUGGGAGAGCUGAAGAAUCUUAAGCAACUUGUUGCUAGUGCAAAAGUUGAAGGAAUAACAGUGGUAUCGCCUCUGGUUAAGAAAAUGCUAGAAAAUAACAUGUUUCUAUUUGGGGCUGUUGAAAUCAAUGAAGGCUCUAUUACAGAAAGAGUAAACCAACUUAUGGAACUACAGAAUGCACGUGUUCAAGUAGCUUAUAAGAAGUUAUUUGCUAAUACAAGGAUUGAGCAUUUUCUCCACAUGGAUUUGGGCACGGAAAUUGAUAUGGAUAUGAUCAAGAAUAUGUCAAACGAAUAUGCUGAGGCCAAGAAAAGAGCCAUUAAAGAGGCUAGUGAGGUGAUUGAUGUUCAGAACAUAGAACAUAUAGCUUUCGACAAGAAACCAAUUGGAGAUGAACUGACGAAGAUUGAGGAUAACUGGACUGCGCAGAGAGACAUGCUUUACCGCCAGAUAGGUUUCAAUCAGCAUGGUGGUGAAAAACAGCAACAUCAGCAAUUGCAAUUAGUACCGCAUCAGCUGGAGGAGGAACCAGAUGAAGCAGAAGAUGUAGACUUUGAGCAAGAGCUGGAACAGCUUCUAUCUCGACCUUAAUUGUAUAAUUAAGAGGAAUAGAUUCGUUCAAGGCACAGAAUUUGUGAAGUUGGAUGCUGGCCCUUCCAGCUUCCUAGAACUGCUUGAAGCGCCGUGACUGAAGUGCUCUGCAGUUUGCGAUGCCAGCAUGGGGUGGUGGAGGCUAGUACCAAAACGUGACUGUGUUGAAGUGUUUCUGAAGAUUUGAAGGUACAUUAGAACUUUGGCAGUGGAAGAGUAGAGCUUUAUCUUAAGAUUCUUUCAUGGUUGCUUGUGGUUUAUAUUCGUCCCAUUCCAUCUCAGACAACCUUCCAAAUAUCAACAAAUGAUUAAACAAGGUUGGAGGGUUAGGAACGUGUAGUAUUUGCAAUUUCAGAUAGUUGAAAAGAUCAGUAUCAUAGUUUUGUUUCAAGUUCUCUCAGAUUUGCAUCAA